AUUUUGUGUGUGGUGUGAAAAGGAAGGAAACACAUUGACACAGCCCAGUUAAACAUCAUGAAGUGCAUAAACGGAGCCUUUAUCAAAAGUGUGUUUAGUUGUGUGUUUAGUUUGAGCCUGUUCAGACUCUGAGGAUGGGAGCCUCUCUGCUCUGGACACUGCGGUCCAUCUUGUUUUGUGUCGCCGUCUGCAAACAGACAACAGUUACAGGUGACAGGGCGACUCUAGAUGUCACUCAACAGUCUGUGUAUCUGGGGGAAAGAGUG